rnacentral:rRNA from 1 species
GAUGAACGCUAGCGGCAGGCUUAAUACAUGCAAGUCGAGGGGCAGCAGGGUGGUAGCAAUACCAUCGCUGGCGACCGGCAAACGGGUGCGGAACACGUACGCAAUCUACCCAUAACUGGGGCAUAGCCCUCCGAAAGGAGGAUUAAUACCUCGUAACCUUUGAAGGUGGCAUCACCUUCUUAGUAUAGCUCCGGCGGUUAUGGAUGAGCGUGCGGCUGAUUAGGUAGUUGGCGGGGUAACGGCCCACCAAGCCUGCGAUCAGUAACUGGUGUGAGAGCACGACCAGUCACGCGGGCACUGAGCCACGGGCCCGACUGCUACGGGAGGCAGCAGUAAGGAAUAUUGGUCAAUGGACGCAAGUCUGAACCAGCCAUGCCGCGUGAAGGAUGAAGGUCCUCUGGAUUGUAAACUUCUUUUAUAGGGGAAGAAAUCACUUGAUUCUUCGAGUGUUGACGGUACCCUAGGAAUAAGCACCGGCUAACUCCGUGCCAGCCGCCGCAGUAAAAC